rnacentral:rRNA from 1 species
CCUACGGGUGGCUGCAGUGGGGAAUAUUGCACAAUGGGCGCAAGCCUGAUGCAGCCAUGUCGCGUGUGUGAAGAAGGCCCUCGGGUUGUAAAGCACUUUCAGCGGGGAGGAAGGCGGUGAGGUUAAUAACCUCAUCGAUUGACGUUACCCGCAGAAGAAGCACCGGCUAACUCCGUGCCAGCAGCCGCGGUAAUACGGAGGGUGCGAGCGUUAAUCGGAAUUACUGGGCGUAAAGCGCACGCAGGCGGUCUGUCAAGUCGGAUGUGAAAUCCCCGGGCUCAACCUGGGAACUGCAUUCGAAACUGGCAGGCUAGAGUCUUGUAGAGGGGGGUAGAAUUCCAGGUGUAGCGGUGAAAUGCGUAGAGAUCUGGAGGAAUACCGGUGGCGAAGGCGGCCCCCUGGACAAAGACUGACGCUCAGGUGCGAAAGCGUGGGGAGCAAACAGGAUUAGAUACCCGGGUAGUC